AUGAUCGUGGUGAUUAUCUUCAAUUAUAUUUGACUAAUUAAUUGGAAUCUGAUUAACUAAUCAUUUUUUUUAUUCUUUUCUAUUCAAAGUGCAACAAUUAACGUCCUAAAGUGAAUUACAAUUAACACUGCAAACGGUUGGUACUUGAGGUUAACGUUUCACUUUUUCUUAAAUUUCACUGGUUUGAUUUGGCUUUUAUGUUGUAUUACUCUUUUGGUAGCUUUUGGGUUGGCUGAACUUUGGAUUAAUUUGGUUUAAUUAAUCAUAAUUUAUAUCUUGAUUUGAUUUAUGUAAUUUAAUCCGAUGGUUACAAUGGUUUUCCACUUGUUAUGAUUUUUGCUUCAACCGAAUUGAUUAACUUGGAGUAAUCAUCAUCAUCAUCAUCAUCAUCAUUAGGAUAUUGACAUUAGAUGGAUCAUGUAAUCAUUAUCACCCUGAUUUCAAGGGUUAAUCAUUCCGAUGACUUAUUAACCUUACAGGAUAAACUCAAUUGUGGCUCCAAUAUUAGAGAAAAUCUUCCAAUUUGAAUGAUGACAAUAAUUCUUGGAAAUUUAUAGUUGAAGGAAAACAAGAUGGCGAUUCACCUUAGUAACAAGGACACACGGAAAUGAAUAUUAUGUGAUGGAUACUUAAUAUGUUUCGAUUGAUUAACUGUUGGAUUUUAAUUCAAGGGGUUAAACGUCAAUUAGCAAAUCAGCUGUUAAUAAAUUUGACGAUGAUGACCAAUUGAUGGAUAAACUACAUUUUUUUCUUUCUAUUUCUCUCUCUUUCUCUCCCUCUCUGCCCGUUGGUUCAGAAGCAUCGUUAUCCUGUGAUGAGACAAAUGUCUCUCUCUCUCUAUCAGCAUGUUUUCACCAAAUGAAUGGAUAAAAAUGAGAUUAAAUGAAUCCUAUUGAAACAACAUGAUGGAAAUUGAACUUUCUACUUCGUUCUUUCAAAGAUUAAAAUGAUGAAGGUGAUGAUUAAAUUGGAGUUAAAGGAAAAAAGGUCAAUUCUGAUCCUCUAUUUCAAAAUCAAAAGGCAACAAACAGGAUAAUCAAGGUUAUACCAUAGGAAAUACUGACCAAUAAAGAAGGUCAUUUAUUGUGUUGCAAGGAUAAAAUCACCAACUACAGUUGAUUUGAUGUAUUACAGUUAAACUUGAAUUAGCCUUUGACAAUCCAGGACAAUUGAGAUUUAACCAAUAAAACUGUUGGACGAAUGAUGAUAAUGUUAAGACAAAAAUCACUUGAGAAAUCACAGAGAAACCAAUUUAACUAGAACCAAAACUGAUUAGGUGUAUCAGCUUACAAAUAAUUCCAACACAAUGAUGAUAAGAGUGAAUGAUUUGCCAUGGGAAAAGUCUGGUUUAACACUAAUUUACAACCAUUAUCCAAUUCUGAGAUUUUUUUUUAUUCACACAUUGACACUAUCAUCACCAUUACCACCACUGAUUAUCACAAAUUAAUUGGUGACAGAGAGUUUCAAACAAUUAGUUUGAUCUAAUAGAUUGAUACUAUUAAGCAGCUCUGAUAUUGUAUUACAACCAACUAAUAGAGGGUAACAUGAUGAAUAAUAUCUUUAACCACUAACAAGCUCUUCCAAUUCUAAAAGUGUUAAUUUCUAUCUUUAUCCACCUCGUCAUAUAUCCCUCUUAUUAUUUUUAGCUAUUUCUUUAUAUUGAAUUGUGUCUAUUCUCAUGUGAUUGAUUAGGUUGACAAUGAAAAUCGUCCAGAAUUGACCAGAAAGAAUACCCAUCACUAAGGUAACCAAAUGGCAAGUGAAAGUGAAAGUGAAAGGGAGAAAAGGGAAAAGUUCAACUCGAGUAAAUUUAUUACUUGGACGAAAAAUAAUGAAAUGGAUUGAGAAUCAUUUUUACCUCUCUCACCCUCGUUUACUUCUGUCUUUUCCUCACUUUCUUAAUAUUAUCAUGAUGAAAACUAGUUAAACUAAGAUGAAAAUAAUAACAUUCUGUUAUUGAUAUUGAUUAAGAACAUAUUAACACAGGGAGAGGAAAAGACACUGAACAGAGUAGAGAGUUUAUAUCAUUGGGCGUUUCAAGAAAAAGAGGUGGUGAAACUUGUGAAACAAUUUCUAUUUCCAUGUUAAAGGUUAAAGAAAAAUGAUUUAUCAUCAUCUAUUCUGAAAGUAAACAUAAUCCAUUGGAAUCAAGAUGAAACAAAGUUACAUUAUUAUUUUCAACUUUGGGUAAACGUUAAUCUACCAUUGGAAAGAUCUAUGUUGAUAUGUAACAAGGAAUCAAAUAUCAACUGGACAGAAAAGGAAACGGAAAGAUGCUACCAUGCAUGGUUAAACUGACCAAUUAUUGAUUGAUUGAAAAAAAAUUGUGUGGCUAUCAGUGGACACCAGUAGCAGUAGUUGAAGAAAUGAUUUUAUCUAUCUACAAGAUUAACUACUGAUUGUGGUCAAUCUGAUGAUAUUAAUCAAAUCUUUUUUCAUUUAAUCAAGAUUGAAUUAUUCACCAAACCAUGGAGAGAUGAUGAUGGUCUAAAUUGUUUAUCAUCUAUUUAUACGGUUUACAAAUUUAUUUAUACAUUGGUCAGAUGAUAAUUAAGCCAAUUUCAAGUUAACUGGAUUGGUUCAUUUGAUUUCCAUGUGAUUACACUUGUUUUGGACAAUAAUCAUCAUUAUAUCAACGAUCAUCAUCUUCAUUAAGUUAAAAGGAUUUAAUGUUAACUGUUUAUGGGUGUUAAGAUAAUUGAUUAUGGAAAAAUGCUCUGAAUAAUAGAUAUGAGAUUAGAUUUCUGUAUCUCUCUUUCAUUUUAUCUGUUAAUCAUCUAGACGAGAAUCAUAUCUUGGUGAGUGAAUAAGAAGAUUUAAACAAAUAGAUAAAAAGUAAUGUGAAAUUGAAUAAGUUGAAAGAAAAAUAGUAACUGAAAAUCUCUGAGAAAAGAUUUUUCCAUGAUCGAUUGAAGAUAGAAAAAGAGAGAAGAUCCAAGAUUUUCUCCCUUUUUCUCUCACCAUCUUAAUCUUCAUCCUCUUCCUCAUCUUCUUGAUUGAAUAUAAAUACUACCUUUUGAUUAUUAUCAUGAUAAUCUACCAACAAUUGGAUUCUAACGAUUCAAACUUGAUGGUUAUAAUUUCAAACAUCUAUUGAUUGGCCAAACAUUGGAAAUACUUGAAGUGAUCAACUUGAUCGUAAAUCUCAUUUUAACUGAUUGUGAUUGUGGAUUCUCAUUCAUUUGGAUGGCAAUUUGAUUUGAUUAUUUGAUUGUGUUUUUCUUGAAUCUCUUAUUUUUACUCCUAUGAAUUGCUUAUCAUCAUCAUCAUCAUCAUCAUCAUCAUCCGCAUCAUCAACAACAACAACUUGAACAUUAACAGUUAACAAGAUAGUUAAUGUAAUAGAUAACCAAUGAAGUUUGUUAUUAUUUUAUUAUACAUCUAAUGAGCAGUUUAGUUUACGACUGUAUAUCAACAACGAAAGGGAAUGACCAGAGACACACAAAGACAAUUGUCAUCAUCUUAUUAAUACAAUAAUAAUGAUGAUAAUAGUAACAAGAUCGACGACGAAUGAACAACAUCACAACAAUAAUACAUUGAAGGAAAUAGAUGAAUGGACUAUCAACACAAAGGACGACAAAACUUAUGAAAUAAUCAGACAAAGAAGAUGAAGAUGAUGGUGAAGACAAAAGGAGAGCCAAAUAGGGAGAAAAAAAAGAGAGAGAGAGAGACUUUUAGUAAGAUGACAAAAAAAAUUAUAUCUUCCAUCAACCAUAAUAAUAAUAUAAUGAUAAUAAUUUAUUAUUAUA